rnacentral:rRNA from 1 species
GCUUGCUUUCUUUGCCGGCGACCGGCGCACGGGUGGGUAACACGUAUCCAACCUGCCCUUUACUCGGGGAUAGCCUUUCGAAAGAAAGAUUAAUACCCGAUGGCAUAGUUCUUCCGCAUGGCGGAACUAUUAAAGAAUUUCGGUCAUCGAUGGGGAUGCGUUCCAUUAGGUUGUUGGCGGGGUAACGGCCCACCAAGCCUUCGAUGGAUAGGGGUUCUGAGAGGAAGGUCCCCCACAUUGGAACUGAGACACGGCCCAAACUCCUACGGGAGGCAGCAUG